rnacentral:rRNA from 1 species
UACGUAGGUGGCAAGCGUUGUCCGGAUUUACUGGGCGUAAAGAGCGCGCAGGCGGUCGUUCAAGUCGCGUGUGAAAGCCCCCGGCUCAACUGGGGAGGGUCACGCGAUACUGAUCGACUCGAAGGCAGGAGAGGGUAGUGGAAUUCCCGGUGUAGUGGUGAAAUGCGUAGAUAUCGGGAGGAACACCAGUGGCGAAGGCGGCGACCUGGGUCGACACUGACGCUGAGGCGCGAAAGCGUGGGGAGCAAACAGG